rnacentral:rRNA from 1 species
GGGGAAGGGUAGCUUGCUACCUGACCUAGCGGCGGACGGGUGAGUAAUGCUUAGGAAUCUGCCUAUUAGUGGGGGACAACAUUCCGAAAGGAAUGCUAAUACCGCAUACGCCCUACGGGGGAAAGCAGGGGAUCUUCGGACCUUGCGCUAAUAGAUGAGCCUAAGUCAGAUAAGCUAGUUGGUGGGGUAAAGGCCUACCAAGGCGACGAUCUGUAGCGGGUCUGAGAGGAUGAUCCGCCACACUGGGACUGAGACACGGCCCAGACUCCUACGGGAGGCAGCAGUGGGGAAUAUUGGACAAUGGGCGAAAGCCUGAUCCAGCCAUGCCGCGUGUGUGAAGAAGGCCUUUUGGUUGUAAAGCACUUUAAGCGAGGAGGAGGCUACUGAGAUUAAUACUCUUGGAUAGUGGACGUACUCGCAGAAUGAGCACCGGCUAACUCUGUGCCAGCAGCCGCGGUACUACAGAGGGUGCGAGCGUUAAUCGGAUAUACUGGGCGUAA